rnacentral:rRNA from 1 species
GACGUAGGGCGCGAGCGUUGUCCGGAUUUAUUGGGCGUAAAGAGCGUGUAGGCGGCCUGACAGGUCUGCUGUGAAAAACUCGAGGCUCAACCUCGAGAUGUCGGCGGAAACCGUCUGGCUAGAGUCCGGAAGAGGAGAGUGGAAUUCCUGGUGUAGCGGUGAAAUGCGCAGAUAUCAGGAAGAACACCUAUGGCGAAGGCAGCUCUCUGGGACGGUACUGACGCUGAGACGCGAAAAGCGUGGGGGAGCGAACAGG